rnacentral:lncRNA from 1 species
CUGGGCUAAGGACUCGAGGAGAAAUUUCUUGUACUCCAUUUUGGAUUUAGCUCCAACUAGCUUGGAGCUUAUCAUAGACUUUUGUUGGAGAAAUCUUGCUAUAGACUGAUCCAUUGUUACAAGAAGUUGCAAAAAAUGAUGAGAGAGUCAUUCAAGAAUUUUAGGCUUGGUGGCCUUUUCUGGAUUAAAUUCUUGCCACCAUUUAACCUUAUAUUUCCUGCCAAGCAUGUUAAGAAGAGGA